ACCAAGGACCAAUCUUGCAUUGUGCCUCUACACGCGCAUGGUUCCAGGCCCACUUAGCGCAGUAGGCCUAACAAUUUGAUAAUUUAGGCCUCUGUGCUUCCAGGCCCACUUAGCUCAUGGUUCAGUGGCCUUCUACUGAGAAAUUUCAGGAUUUGGAUCAAAUACGACUGCCUUCCAAGAUUUGGGACUCAAUUCAUGUGCCUUUCAGAAUUUAACCCCCAACACACGAAUUGAUUCAGUUCAUGGGUUUUCCAUCUAUUUUCUCAAUUACGCCUCUUUUUCCUUUUCUUUUUCUUUCACAGCCUACCUGAAUUUCCAAUCCUAUCCCUGCCCCUUUGGCUCUCUCACGAUUGAAUCUGUUCCCAGCGAUACACAAUUGAAUCUCUCUCUCUCUCUCUCUCUCUCUCUCUCUCUUUCUUGCGUCGCUACUAGGGUUCCUGGGGAGGAACGCAACCAGCAGAUGCGGGCGAUCGGAACGGGCUGAAUGGACUCCAUGGAUCCCUCUGAUGUGCCUCCCGGGAUUGACCCGGAUGCUACGUUUAGAUUGUCGGUCCAGAUUUCACAGUUCUUAGCAAAGAUGGAUAAUGGUAGCUCUGUUGAUGUGCCUCGAAAAUGCUAUGAAUGGAUUGUAGACUACCGCUGCUACACCAUGUUAUCUUUAGAAAAAGACUUGGCUGAAAGAGUGACUUGGGGAAGCUCCCAACACCCUGUGAUAUCUGAAUUUGAUAUGUGUACCGGUGGGGAAAGAAAUUUGGGUGAUGAUGCAGCUUUAUCACCGGCAUUCUUUGAAAGAAUUGCAGAAAAAAAAGUUGAUGCUUUUUGUUGAUGUCGAGGACAAGUCUGGACAAAUACUUUGUAAGUCUACUGUUACAGAGGGAGCCAUGAGUAACGUAGUGUCUGACAAUGUUGGGACACAAGUAUAUUCAACGGAUCCUACAGAUGUUGGAAAUGUGAUAGACUGGGACAUCAUAGAGAUAGAGCCAAUUCCAGAAGAACAGACAUGCUCCUAUCAGAUUGAUGGACGAAGAUGCUAUGUAUGAAUUUGUUGGGCUGAGAGCAGAGGAUGAGAGAGCAAGGAUUGCAGCUGAAAAGGAAGCUGCAAAUGGGUCUGCUCUUUUGAAUAUGGAACUAGAAGGUCCAGAAUUACUUGUUGAUGAUAUAAUUCCUGGAGAGGAGUCAGUUGUUUAUGACAUGGAAGAUCCUCCAAUAAAAGUAGGAACCAUCUAUGCUUGUAUGAAUGAAUUAAGGGCAGCAGUAAGGCAACAUGGUAUAAAGGGAUAAUUUGAGCUGGGAACAGAGAAAUCUUGUAAAGACAAGUUUAGGGGCUAUUGCAAAGCGGCAGGAUGUCCAUGGGCUAUUGUGGCUAGGUUGAUGCAUGAUGAGAAGCAAGUCAGGGUUACUUUAAAUAAAGGAGAUCAUUUUUGUGCAUCUACUGCAAGAGUUAGGACUAAGAUGGCUUCAUACCAUUGGGUAGCAGAGAAGGCCAUUCCCUUUCUAAAGAAGGAUGCUAACAUGGGUGCAAAGAAACUGCAAAAAGAGUUGGAGGAAAAAUAUAAUGUCACGAUAGGAUAUGGAACAGUGUGGUCUGGUAGGCAAAUUGCAGCAGAAAAAUUUUUUGGCACCUGGGAGGAAAGUUUUGCUUUAUUGUUCAACUUCAAGGCAGAGGUAGAGCUGAAAAUGCCUGGGAGUGUGGUAGAGAUACAUGACAUAAAUAAAGAUGAUGGUGUGUACUUCCAUAGAUUCUUUUGUUGCUUCAAACCAAGCAUUGAUGGGUUCCUAAAUGGUUGCAGACCAUACUUGAGUAUAGAUUCCACAGCUCUUAAUGGCAGAUGGGAUGGCCACUUGCCUUCAGCAGUUGCAUUAGAUGGACACAAUUGGAUUUUUCCAAUUGCAUUUGGUUUUUUUUUUUGAGAAGGAGACAACAGAUAAUUGGACUUGGUUUUUGCAGCAACUACAAAAGUCAAUUGGCAACCUGCCUUACUUAGCUAUAAGUUCAGAUGCUUGCAAGGGCAUAGAGAAUGCAAUAAAUGAAGUGUACCCUUGGGCUGAGCAUAGAUAGUGCUUUUCUCAUUUGAUAAAAAAAUUUGGUAAAAGGUUUCAAGGUCCAACAUAUGGUAGGAUGUAUCCUGCUGCCAAGACAUAUCAACCAGAAUAUCAUGCGUAUUUAAUGAAUAAGAUGUAUACAGCAAGUAAAAAGGUCAAGCCAUAUUUGGACUAAUAUCAUAGUCUGAUCUGGAUGAGGAGCAAAUUUUCAGAAGAGAUCAAGUGUGAUCAUAUUGCCAACAAUGCUGCAGAUGUUUGGAAUAUAUGGGUCAAGGAUAUUAAAGACCUUCCAGUAGCUGAGCUUGCAGACACUCUAAGGUCCAAGGUCAUGGAACUCUUUGCAAGAAGGAGAAAAAUAGGUGAAAAGCUUCAAGGCCACACUAUGCUUCCAAUUGUUGUUCGACAACUUAAUGUACUGAGCAGGCAAUUAGGACACUCGAAGGUUCAAGAAGGUGGUAGGGAUGAAGCUGAGGUGACUGAAAUUACUACUACCCACAAGGUCAUAAGACAGGUGGUGAAUCUGAAGAAUCAAACAUGCUCCGGUAGGGAGUGGCAGGUUUCAGGAAAGUCGUGCCCACAUGCUUUGGCACUCAUAAUUACUACAAGAAAUCCUAAGAUGGAAGAUUUCCUCCACCCAUA